UCUCACUUCUAUCUCCCUACCUCCAACUCUCUUGGUCUUGGUCAUUCCUUUCAUCUCGGUUCUCACUAUUGCAAGUGUGAGACCUUCUGUGUGCUUGCUCUUUGACUGAGCCAGAGAUUAGGAGUAGGGUCUAGCGGCGGGCUAUAUCGAUGCACGGGAGCAUUAUGGAGGAGAGCGACACUUCGAUGUCGAUUGGAGUCCGAUCAUUGAAGACCUGUAUAGCCCUGAGCUAGGUUUCAUGGAUAGUCGUGCGACCAGUGUGUUUCCUCUUUUGCUCUAGAUUCUUAGGGUUUUCGGAUGCACCCACACCAUUCGCUGUGCACUUUAGUUGACCAUUGAGCGUUGAGAGUUUGAGAGGUUUCACCAUAGGAAACCCCC
rnacentral:lncRNA from 1 species